GACGAACGCUGGCGGCGUGCCUAAUACAUGCAAGUUGAGCGCUGAAGGUUGGUACUUGUACCAACUGGAUGAGCAGCGAACGGGUGAGUAACGCGUGGGGAAUCUGCCUUUGAGCGGGGGACAACAUUUGGAAACGAAUGCUAAUACCGCAUAAAAACUUUAAACACAAGUUUUAAGUUUGAAAGAUGCAAUUGCAUCACUCAAAGAUGAUCCCGCGUUGUAUUAGCUAGUUGGUGAGGUAAAGGCUCACCAAGGCGAUGAUACAUAGCCGACCUGAGAGGGUGAUCGGCCACAUUGGGACUGAGACACGGCCCAAACUCCUACGGGAGGCAGCAGUAGGGAAUCUUCGGCAAUGGACGAAAGUCUGACCGAGCAACGCCGCGUGAGUGAAGAAGGUUUUCGGAUCGUAAAACUCUGUUGGUAGAUAAGAACGUUGGUGAGAGUGGAAAGCUCAUCAAGUGACGGUAACUACCCAGAAAGGGACGGCUAACUACGUG
rnacentral:rRNA from 1 species